rnacentral:rRNA from 1 species
AUGGGUAAGCUGCUAGCCUUGAAGGAACUAUAUGGUGAUUGGGAUACAAGCUUUGAUAAUCUGUAUAGUUUCAAGGCACAAAUUGAAAGUUGUUGCCUUGGUAGCAUAGUGAUCAUUGAUCAUUACACAAUAAAACAUAAAAUCAGAUUUAAAAGAAUUUUUGUCGCUUUCAAGCCUUGCAUCAACGGGUUCCUUAAUGGCUGUAGGCCAUACUUGGCAGUAGAUAGCACCUUCUUGACAGGCAGGUUCAAGGCGCAGCUAGCUAGUGCUACCGCCGUUGAUGGCCAUAGUUGGAUGUAUCCAGUUUGUAUGGGUGUUUUUGAUUCUGAAACUAAUGAGAAUUGGACCUGGUUCAUGCAAAUAGUUAGACAAGCCGUAGGAUCCCCAAGGGGUUUAACCAUAUGCACCGAUGCUGGGCAACCAGUGAUGACAGGUGUAAAAGAAGUGUUUCCAGAGGCUGAACAUAGGGAAUGUAUGUUUCACUUGGUGUCCAACUUCAAGAAGAAGUUUCAUGGAAAGGUGUUUGAUGACCACCUUUGGGCUGCUGCUUACUCAUGGAACCCAUAUAUAUUUGAAAAAAAUUGGGUUGCAAUGGACAUAGCAAAGCCAGCGGCAACUGCAUAUCUUAGGAGGUGGCACACUAGGUUGUGGUCUAGGAGUCAGUUCUCAACAAUUUCCAAGGUGGAUUAUGUUACAAACAACUCGGCUGAGUGCUUCAAUAAUUGGAUUAAGCACCACAAGUCCUUGAACUUGGAUGACUUCUUUGAUAAGGUUAGGCAGAUGAUUAUGAUCAUGUGGAACAGAAGGAGGAAAGUAGCAAGGAAGUUGGUUGGGUUGAUUCUUCCCCACAUAAUUAAGAAGUUGAACGCAAAUACUAGAGAAUUAAACUUGGAGGUGGUAGAAAGCUCAGAAGAAGUUGCUGAAGUGACAACAUUGGGAGGCAGCGGCUUUAGGUUUGUGGUCAACUUGCUUGAUAGGACAUGUUCUUGUAGACAAUGGCAAGUUUCUGGCCUUCCUUGCAAACAUGGUCUAGCAUUUAUCACAUCUCUUAUCAAUGCACACAUACAGAAUUAUGUGGACUUGUAUUACUCCAUUAACAAAUUUAGAGCAGCCUAUGACCAACUAAUUCCUGCCAUGGUUGACAAGAACCAAUGGCCUAAAUCUGACCAUGGAUUCUUCAUGUAUCCACCACUACUUAAAUCCACGGCGGGUAGGCAUAAAACUGAGAGGUAUAAAGGCUGUGGUGAGAAGAAAAGAAAAAGCGGCCAACACUUAUGCCCUAUUUGUAAGGACUAUGGGCAUCAUUGGCAUAAAUGCAAGAAGGGUAACCCAGAUGACAUUGCUGCUAUUUUAGCCGUGAGAGGACCACCAAAGAAGAGGGCAAAGACCACCAAAGCAUCAAUUGUGCCUUGUGAGGAUGAUGCUCCAGCAGCCUCUAUGUGCUUUCUGCCAAAGUUAGCCACUUUACACUCAUGCUCAUAA